rnacentral:rRNA from 1 species
ACUCCUACGGGAGGCAGCAGUGGGGAAUAUUGCACAAUGGGCGCAAGCCUGAUGCAGCGACGCCGCGUGAGGGAUGACGGCCUUCGGGUUGUAAACCUCUUUCAGCACCGACGAAGCGCAAGUGACGGUAGGUGCAGAAGAAGGACCGGCCAACUACGUGCCAGCAGCCGCGGUAAUAC